UACGUAGGGGGCGAGCGUUGUUCGGAUUUACUGGGCGUAAAGCGCGCGUAGGCGGCCUGAUAAGUCGGAUGUGAAAGCCCUCGGCUCAACCGGGGAUACGCACCCGAAACUGCCAGGCUUGAGGCUAGGAGAGGAGAGCGGAAUUCCCAGUGUAGCGGUGAAAUGCGUAGAUAUUGGGAGGAACACCGGUGGCGAAGGCGGCUCUCUGGACUGGUUCUGACGCUGAGGCGCGAAAGCUAGGGGAGCGAACGGG
rnacentral:rRNA from 1 species